rnacentral:rRNA from 1 species
GUAGGGAAUAUUGGGCAAUGGUCGGAAGACUGACCCAGCCAUGCCGCGUGCAGGAAGACGGCCCUCUGGGUUGUAAACUGCUUUUAUCUGGGAAGAAAAAGGCCAUGCGUGGCAAAUUGCCGGUACCAGAUGAAUAAGCACCGGCUAACUCCGUGCCAGCAGCCGCGGUAAUACGGAGGGUGCGAGCGUUGUCCGGAUUUAUUGGGUUUAAAGGGUGCGUAGGCGGCUGAUUAAGUCAGCGGUGAAAGACUUCGGCUUAACCGGAGCAGUGCCGUUGAUACUGGUUGGCUUUAGUGUCGGAGGGGUACAUGGAAUUGAUGGUGUAGCGGUGAAAUGCAUAGAUACCAUCAGGAACACCGAUAGCGAAGGCAUUGUACUGGCCGACAACUGACGCUGAUGCACGAAAGUGUGGGGAUCGAACAGGAUUAGAAACCCUUGUAGUCC